rnacentral:tRNA from 1 species
GCCUUCGUGGUGUACUGGUCAGCCCGCUCGACUCGUAAUCGAGAGGUCCGUGGUUCGAUUCCCGGCGAAGGGG